rnacentral:rRNA from 1 species
CGGGUGCGUAACACGUGAGCAACCUUCCGAAAUAUGGGGGAUAGCCGGCCUAACGGCCGAGUAAUACCGCAUACGCUCUCGAUGAGGCAUUUCAUUGAGAGGAAACCUCCGGGGUAUUUCGAGGGGCUCGCGGCCUAUCAGCUAGUUGGUGGGGUCACGGCUUACCAAGGCGACGACGGGUAGCUGGUCUGAGAGGAUGGCCAGCCACAUUGGGACUGAUAGACGGCCCAG